AGAGUUUGAUCAUGGCUCAGGACGAACGCUGGCGGCAGGCUUAACACAUGCAAGUCGAGCGCCGUGCCUUCGGGUGCGGAGCGGCGAACGGGUGAGUAACGCGUGGGGAUCCGCCCUCUGGUGGGGGACAACUUCGGGAAACCGAGGCUAAUACCGCAUACGCCCGAGAGAUCGGGGAAAGAUUUAUCGCCGGAGGAUGAACCCGCGUCCGAUUAGGUAGUUGGUGGGGUAACGGCCUACCAAGCCUUCGAUCGGUAGCUGGUCUGAGAGGACGAUCAGCCACACUGGGACUGAGACACGGCCCAGACUCCUACGGGAGGCAGCAGUGGGGAAUCUUGGACAAUGGGCGCAAGCCUGAUCCAGCCAUGCCGCGUGAGUGAAGAAGGCCUUCGGGUUGUAAACCUCUUUCGCCGGUGAAGAUAAUGACGGUAGCCGGAGAAGAAGCCCCGGCUAACUCCGUGCCAGCAGCCGCGGUAAUACGGAGGGGGCUAGCGUUGUUCGGAAUUACUGGGCGUAAAGCGCGCGUAGGCGGCGGCACAAGUUGGGCGUGAAAGCCCGGGGCUCAACCCCGGAGGUGCGCCCGAGACUGUGUUGCUCGAGGCCGAGAGAGGGUGGCGGAAUUCCCAGUGUAGAGGUGAAAUUCGUAGAUAUUGGGAAGAACACCGGUGGCGAAGGCGGCCACCUGGCUCGGUACUGACGCUGAGGCGCGAAAGCGUGGGGAGCAAACAGGAUUAGAUACCCUAGUAGUCC
rnacentral:rRNA from 1 species